AAUAUAGUGCCUGACUAAAGGGUUAUUUUGAUAGAAUAAAUUAAGUAAAUUUUUUUACCUAUAUUU
rnacentral:tRNA from 1 species